AAUGAACGCUGGCGGCAUGCCUUACACAUGCAAGUCGAACGGCAGCAUGACCUCGCUUGCUAGGUUGAUGGCGAGUGGCGCACGGGUGAGUAAUGCAUCGGAACGUGCCUUUUAGUGGGGGAUAACGUAGCGAAAGUUACGCUAAUACCGCAUAUUCUCUGAGGAGGAAAGCAGGGGACCUUCGGGCCUUGCGCUAGAAGAGCGGCCGAUGUCGGAUUAGCUAGUUGGUGAGGUAAAGGCUCACCAAGGCAACGAUCCGUAGCGGGUCUGAGAGGAUGAUCCGCCACACUGGGACUGAGACACGGCCCAGACUCCUACGGGAGGCAGCAGUGGGGAAUGUUGGACAAAGGGCGCAAGCCUGAUCCAGCCAUGCCGCGUGAGUGAAGAAGGCCUUCGGGUUGUAAAGCUCUUUCGGCUGGGAAGAAAUCGCACCCUCUAAUACAGGGUGUGGAUGACGGUACCAGCAUAAGAAGCACCGGCUAACUACGUG
rnacentral:rRNA from 1 species